GUCUCUUAUUCCUCUCCAUCGCCAAAAUGCCUCAAGAUCCUCUCCUCUCAUGUAUGCAUGGCCUCUCGCUCAGGCAUCCCCUUUCACAUGCAGGUCAUCUCUCCAUCGUGUAUCAAUGACCUCCUUCUUCUGCUCCCUUCCCCAGCCAUCUCCCUCUCUCUAUUCGGCCCUCUUAUCGCCCUCAACCAUGUUGCAGGUUAGCACGACAUCCUCUGUCUUCUUUCUACAUUAUAUCCCUCGCCAGUCCCGAUUCUAUGCAUUGGCUCCCCUCUCCUCCCUUGAUCUCUCUUUAAUUGGAAAAGAUAGCAACAUGGUUCUCUGCUCUCUCAUUAAUGGCUUCAAUCCAACUCCAUUGCCGCAGAAAUUUCUAUAGAUCCGUAUUUUAUUUUUGAUUUUUUACUAUUUUUUCAAUAGUUCAGAUUUGAAUCAUAAGUUAUGAUCGACUCAACUCGCUGCCCCGUCCGCUCGCCUUCAUCUGUCUACUUCCAUAAUCCGUCUUGCUUUGCUGCCGCCGCAAUCAAACACAACCGGCUUCCUGCUCCUCGAUCAAACAUCUCUCUCUUGAUGGCUUAAUUCCAACCAAUGUUCCAACAGUGGUUUUCCCCUAAUCGACGACUCAUCUCAAUCUAUUAGUGUUGCAUCAAUACAAUCUUUCCAAGUUUUCACCUCGGAUAGGUUCUCUUUAUGUGCAGUUUUCUCUGUCCAAAACAAUGUCCAUCGUUUCAUCCCAGGGUCAACAGAUAGUUGUUUCCAAGAUUUCUCUAUAUAGCAGAUUACUGAAUUGAAAUACAGGUCGUCAAAGCUGCAGGCCGUCAGCCCCUAUCCCGAUUUUCCAUCAUCUUGAUGUUCAAAAGACUCAAACCAAAUAAGGACAGGCUGCUAUUUUAAGAGCAUAAUCAAAGCUUAUGGCACUGGGCUGCCAGUAUGCAAAUUAUCUCUUUAAUUAGGAAAACCAUAAACAUGAGUCGUAUUAGGCGGAUUAAUCAAGUAUUUUUCCUUUACAGAAAUCCCUCACGUCCACGGUCUAUGAUCUUUCUCCCGGUUGUAUAACCCCAGUGUUGUUACAGGCGCAGAUCAAGGACAUGCUCUUGCAUAGCUCCUGGAAGGAAAAAUAUCUAGCAAAUACAUGCAGAACCAUGACGUGAAGAUAUUAUAUCUUGCAGUCCAUCAGUGGAGUAUUCGUUUGAGAAAUCGAUCGACAAAGUAAUUUGGCGGAGUUGUUGGUUUAAUUAUGGUGUUCCGCGAUAUCUUAUGUCCUAAGUCGGUAGCAAAUAAGAUACACGAUCAGGUUUGUUCAAUUUAGUAAAUAAACUGUCUGUAUCGGCUGCCUGUCAGACCUGUUUUCUCUUCUCAUGCAGAGAUCCAAAGUGGUGUUUUAAUUCUGACCAGCGAAUCAAUGCAGUGUGUGGUAUGGUGUACUGAAUACUUCUGUGGAAUAUUUACUAUAUAUUCCUCUUAACGCUUUUCAUGUUGUUUAAAACCAUAUUUCAACCUGCUUUUAUGAAAUUAAGCAUCUCUUCUUAUUUUGUUGGAAAGUGGAUAUGUCAUUUUGGAGCAUUACUAGGUUUUCUAUAUCUACUUCUCUGCAUUUCUCACAAGCAAAAUAUUUUUUUUCAGUUAACUUUGAUCUGUUCUUUCAGUUUUAUGCUCAUGUAAUGAUCCAAUAGAGAUAUGUGCAUCUUGGAAGAAUAAAUUAUGCUCUGUUCAGAUGGAAUUUCUUCUGAUUAUGCAUUCAGAAUCUCAAUUAGGAGGCACCAUAGCAGCACUUAUUCCAAGCAACAAGGAAGAUCGAAAAAUGAUGCAGAAGUUAACAUCUUGGUGAGGACAAUUACUUAAUGGACGGAAAAUAGGUUGUUUAUCUAUAUAGAUGGCGCUACUUGAAAUUAUUAUUUGUAAGUAUUAAAUGACAUUCCUUUGGUGUAUAUGUACAUUCUUUAUUAUGCAUCAAUUCAAGAAUUAAUUGAAAUUAUUUUUUUGUAUACAAAUUGAUAUUGGUUGGAAAGACCACAUGAGCCUUUUUAUUUUUUUGACAAGGUUGGCAUAAUGUUCAAGUUUAGAACUUCUGCAAUUACACAAAGAAAACGUAUUGUUCUUCGUUUGCAAAUAUUUUUUGAUAGAUGCUAACAGAUUUCUGCCCUAUUUAUAUAUGAGAUCAUGGUUCAAUAUAUUUCUGAAAUUUCUAAGAUCACCCUAAUAUCUUUGAUAAUUGGUCCAUAAUUUUCUAUCUUCUAAAUAAAUGUUGCUUCCAUGGAUUAUUGUAGGCCGAACAAACUAAUUUCCUGCACCAUAUGUACUAGAUUUCCCAAAUGCAAAAUGAGGUCUCAAUAUAUUCGGUGAAUGUGUUAAACUAUUACAAAAAAUGAUCAUGUUGAACGGUUAAUUUUUGUAAUCUUACAGCUACUUUUUAUAUUUUUAUUAUAUGCAUAUAAUAUAUCAUAAAUUAUGCAAUAUUUGUUUCUUCUUUCUGACACUGAGCGAGUGUAUUGGAACUUUGAAUGCUCCGUACAAAGGGUCAUAGGGAGCUUUUGGAGGUCAGGGCGAA